GCCAUCAACACGGUUAGGUGUGUGUCAUAGAGACCCCGGUAUGCAGAGUGCCCUUUCGUCAUUCCGUGUGCGUGUAGAGCGAACCGUGGGUGCGCCGUCAUCGUGCUGUGGGGCGUGAUUACGUGUAUUCCUCAAGCUUGCUGCACACAAUUACUGCUAGGAGGUCGUGGAAGCCCACCCGAAAGCAGUCGAAUCUUUCAUCGGAAUCGAGCCCUCCCCGCUGGCCUGCUCGUCCGUGCAUCUCUGCGGACGCAAAGAACCACGCAGUGAGGUCACGAGAAUCUGAAGACCAAGUUGGUACCUUAGAAUCUCAAGUCUAAGGCAAGUUGUGCCCUUGAUCACUCUUAUUUACCUAAUAAUGUUCCUGUUAAUCACUGUGACAUGUUCAGGUUAAUUUGAUGGGACCUAAUAGGCUUUCCUAGCAUUGUUCAUCCCACACCUUGUUUGCCACUGAACUAUUGGGUAGUUUUGCUAUUGUUCUACCUGGUUUUGGAAAAUUAAUGUUAUAUUAUGAUCAUGUUUCAGUUAUGCUGUUGUUUUAAUUAUUGUUCAUGACAAGAUCAUUGUGUUAAUUGGAACAUAGAGCUUAACUUCCGUGCUACCACAAUGGUGGAAUGGGACUCCCUUGGCUGACUAAUUAGGAAAGCUAGUGGAGGACUACCUUACCUGGCAAGGGCGAUAGAGGAGCUGCGUAUAGGGAGGUUCUCGGGUCGAUCAUGCUGUGAUGGCUUUUCGGAUGAGGGAUUCCUAUAUUCAAGGUUUAAAAUACCUUGUGAAUUUGAUGAAACAACAAUUUAUGACAUUUAAAGAGGCACAAUGCUUGUCGGGCUCAUUGAAGCAACUUCUUUAAUAAUUUGGGAUGAGACAUUCAUGACA